rnacentral:rRNA from 1 species
UUUAUGGAGAGUUUGAUCCUGGCUCAGGAUGAACGCUGGCGGCGUGCCUAAUACAUGCAAGUCGAGCGAACUGACGAAGAGCUUGCUCCUUUGACGUUAGCGGCGGACGGGUGAGUAACACGUGGGUAACCUACCUAUAAGACUGGAAUAACUCCGGGAAACCGGGGCUAAUGCCGGAUAACAUAUCGAACCGCAUGGUUCGAUAGUGAAAGACGGUCUUGCUGUCACUUAUAGAUGGACCCGCGCCGUAUUAGCUAGUUGGUGAGGUAAUGGCUCACCAAGGCAACGAUACGUAGCCGACCUGAGAGGGUGAUCGGCCACACUGGAACUGAGACACGGUCCAGACUCCUACGGGAGGCAGCAGUAGGGAAUCUUCCGCAAUGGGCGAAAGCCUGACGGAGCAACGCCGCGUGAGUGAUGAAGGUCUUCGGAUCGUAAAGCUCUGUUGUUAGGGAAGAACAAAUGUGUAAGUAACUAUGCACAUCUUGACGGUACCUAACCAGAAAGCCACGGCUAACUACGUGCCAGCAGCCGCGGUAAUACGUAGGUGGCAAGCGUUAUCCGGAAUUAUUGGGCGUAAAGCGCGCGUAGGCGGUUUUUUAAGUCUGAUGUGAAAGCCCACGGCUCAACCGUGGAGGGUCAUUGGAAACUGGAAAACUUGAGUGCAGAAGAGGAAAGUGGAAUUCCAUGUGUAGCGGUGAAAUGCGCAGAGAUAUGGAGGAACACCAGUGGCGAAGGCGGCUUUCUGGUCUGUAACUGACGCUGAUGUGCGAAAGCGUGGGGAUCAAACAGGAUUAGAUACCCUGGUAGUCCACGCCGUAAACGAUGAGUGCUAAGUGUUAGGGGGUUUCCGCCCCUUAGUGCUGCAGCUAACGCAUUAAGCACUCCGCCUGGGGAGUACGGUCGCAAGACUGAAACUCAAAGGAAUUGACGGGGACCCGCACAAGCGGUGGAGCAUGUGGUUUAAUUCGAAGCAACGCGAAGAACCUUACCAAAUCUUGACAUCUUUUGACCACUCUAGAGAUAGAGUUUUCCUCUUCGGAGGACAAAAUGACAGGUGGUGCAUGGUUGUCGUCAGCUCGUGUCGUGAGAUGUUGGGUUAAGUCCCGCAACGAGCGCAACCCUUGAGCUUAGUUGCCAUCAUUAAGUUGGGCACUCUAAGUUGACUGCCGGUGACAAACCGGAGGAAGGUGGGGAUGACGUCAAAUCAUCAUGCCUCUUAUGAUUUGGGCUACACACGUGCUACAAUGGACAAUACAAAGGGCAGCAAAACCGCGAGGUCAAGCAAAUCCCAUAAAGUUGUUCUCAGUUCGGAUUGUAGUCUGCAACUCGACUACAUGAAGCUGGAAUCGCUAGUAAUCGUAGAUCAGCAUGCUACGGUGAAUACGUUCCCGGGUCUUGUACACACCGCCCGUCACACCACGAGAGUUUGUAACACCCGAAGCCGGUGGAGUAACCAUUUGGAGCUAGCCGUCGAAGGUGGGACAAAUGAUUGGGGUGAAGUCGUAACAAGGUAGCCGUAUCGGAAGGUGCGGCUGGAUCACCUCCUUU